CUAAUCCCAAAUCAGCUCUGUGAGAGACCAAGGUUCGAGCAUCAGAAGACAGACUGCAUGGGAGCUUGGGAGUGAGACCCAGACCACUCCGGUCAGUCUUGGAUGCUUUUUCUUGCCUCUCAUAACACUACAACAAUGUGUCUAUUGAGCACUCUCUGUGUUUCCUGUGCUACAGUCCCAUUCAUUUUUUUUUUCAUAUGAAGACGUUGAUUUUUAGGCUAAAUAGCAAGUUCAAAGUGAUGUCCUUUGUCCAUAGAGGAGCUGGGACUCAGUCCAAGCCUGUUUACAGUCUAAACUGCCCAUCAAAGGGGCUUUUCCUUCUGAGUUAGACCGGUGGUGCAGAUAGAAGGCUCUGUCCUAGCAUCAGUUAACCAGGGACUUGAGAGUAUCACUUAGUCUCCCUGACUUCAUCUGCUCUUAGAGGACAGGAGAAGGGGUCCAAGGAGAGCCCAGAUUUCUGUGGCAACAUCUGAACAUUGGUGAGGCAUCUAAAAACUAGUUCACACCUGUGGGACACCACUGUAGUUUCCAGGAAGGAGUUCUCUGCUUAUCUUUUUUUUUUUUUUCAGACACCUUCUUGAAGAGAAGCUAGGUGGGAGCUACAGAGGGAGCCCAAGUCAUCAGGGGGCCUGGCAUGAAAGCUGCAGUUCAAUCAAUCUGCUAGGGCAUUUGUCCUAGACUACUUCCGUGCUGGGGCCAAUUCAGACAAACACGCCAUGUGUGUUGUUGGUACUGUGCAGUCUGAGUCUAGGCAAAACAGUGACCCUAUUAAGGACAUUGUCCUUCCUCUUUUGUUUUGUGAGAUCUGUUCCUCAGGAAGGGGAGAAUUACCACUGAAGGCUACUGCAUCUCUCCUGAUCCAAACCAUUCACUCACUUUCCUUUCACUGUCAGUCCUUGUUUGGGGCAGGAAUGGGAGGUUUAGCCUGCAGCAACAGCAGCCCUGCCUGCCUUCUGACACACACACACACAGGUUUCUGUGGCAAGAACUUGCCCCUGGUCAGCCAUGCCUGGCCUUCUCAGCAUCCCAGCCAAGGGCAUAAUAGCUGAGGAAGGUGAGAGAGGCAGCUAAGGGGCCUGGGUGACACAGUGGAAGCAAACAGUGGAAAAGGCCAGGGAGGGCAAAGACAGAAGAGGAAGGGUGGCAGCUGCUGACAGCUGGUGGCCUGCCCACUUCUGUUGUGGUGGGGAAGGAAAGGAGGGAGAAGGGGAACAAUGUGUGGGCUUGAGCAGAAGACUAAAGUCCCUUGAAGUUCAAGCUUCACUUUCUGCAGUCAAUCGGUCAGAAAACUCAACACGCUGUCUUUCAAACCAACCUAGAGUGUAGCGUCUAAUUACUUCAGAGAAAGAUCCAGAGGCAAAUAGCCUUUAUUCACUGUAUCAGCCCAAGAUCAUGUUGGAAAGAACAUUCUAGUAACCUGGCAUGGGGCCAGAGAACUUUUAGGCUCCGUGUCACCUUUAUCUCCUCCUUUGCUUUCAGCACUCAGUCGCUCUGUCAAGAGUCUCCAGUGACAUAGUUCUGCCUUGACCUGCUUUCCCUCCAGCCUCAGCAUUCCCGGGAUUAUAGACCAACAGCUUGCUGCUUCCUGUAGCUACCUUUACCAUCACACAUUGGCUUCCAGCAGCAGACCCUUCUUUAGGCCUUCACAGGGUCUCUCACUGAGCCUGCAUCUCACCAUUUUGUCUAGACUGGCUGGCCAACACAGUGCAGCAGCCAUUGUGUCUGCACCCUCCACACGCUGGGGUUACAGGAAAGUCCUGACUUGAGGUAUGGAGGUUUUCUCUCGGAGCCACCAGCCUCCUGCCUGAAGAGCUGGGCAGCCUUUGUCAGCAUGCUCUACAGAGGCCUCUAAGCUCCAAGAGGUCAGGGACUGGCCGUGUUUUUCAGUCUGCAUGUCUAGAGCCUGGGAGAACUCUAGGAUCCUGGAAGGCACCCAACAGGAAGUUGAUUGACUUUAUGGCUGGACUCUCAGCUUCCAUCGGCUCUCUUCUGCCCAUUGACAAUAGUGUCUAGCUGAAGUCAUGGGUCUGGGUCUGCAUUCCCGAAGAUCCUGCCGGCCAGUGUGCUUACCUCCAGGGAUAUCUGAAGGCACUCAGAAAACAUGUAUCGCUGUGGAUGGCUUCUCAAUGACAAGAAGCAAGAUUCCUGAGAUUUUUGUCCUUUGAGAAACUCUACAGCUUUUCCCAGUGGGGCAGUUCUGCUCUCCAGAAGACACCUGCUGUGACGAGCCAAAAACAGCUGGCAGGCCACAGAGGAAGCUGGCACUCGCUCAGCAAAGAACCAAACCCAAACCAGA
rnacentral:lncRNA from 1 species